AAACUAGGAUUAGAUACCCUAUUAUUGAAAGUGUAAAUAAAACAACUAGAUUAUUAAUAGUUAUGAUCUUUAAAUUCAAAGAAUUUGGCGGUAAUUUAUCUAAUCAGAGGAAUCUGUUUUAUAAUCGAUAACCCACGAUAGAUUUCACUUUAUAUAAGUUUGUAUACCUCUGUCAAGAAUGCUUUAUCAGAAUAAUUUUCAUUAAUUUUAUUAAUAAAAUGUCAGGUCAAGGUGCAGCUAAUUUUAAAGAAAGAAUGGAUUACAUUAUUAUAAAAAUGAAUUGUUUUCUAUAAUGAAAAUCAUGAAAUUGGAUUUGAAAGUAAAUUUAUUAAAUAUAGUUU
rnacentral:rRNA from 1 species